UGGAACGGCCAUAGCGACCUGGUGAUACCCGAACCCAUUCCGAACUCGGAAGUCAAGCAGGCUCGCGUUCUGGAAAGUACUGUGCUCUGCAUGGGAACUCCAGAUCGCUGUUCCAC
rnacentral:rRNA from 1 species